rnacentral:lncRNA from 1 species
AGCCCCUGCCCCAGCCCCAGGCCCCGUCCUGGCCCCAACCCCAGCCCUCAUCCCAGCUCCAGCCCCUGCCCCAGCCCCUGUCCCAGCCCCAGUCCCUGUCCCAGCCCCAACCCCAGCCCUGGUCCCAGCUCCAGCCCCAAUCCCAGGUCCAGUCCCGGUCCCAGCCCCUGCUCCGAUCCCGGCCCCAGUCCCAGUCCCGGUCCCAGCUCCAAUCCCAGGCCCAGUCCCGGCCCCAACCCCAGACCUCAUCCCAGCUCCAGCCCCAGGCCCAGCCCUAGUCCUGGGUCCAGCUCCAGCCCCAACCGCAGGCCCGAGCCCAGUUCCUGCCCCUGCCCCUGCCCCUGCCCCCGGCCCCGGCCCCGGCCCCGGCCCCGGCCCCGCCCCCGCCGCCCGGUCAUAUCCCACGUCGGCCGACAGGGGUCGCGCUGUGGCCGGGGCGAGGCGGGGCGGGGGCGGCGGCGGCGGCAGCAGCGGCAGCAGCUCCCACGGCAGCAGCCUCUGCUCCGCUCCUCCGGAGGCCGCUGGUUGGAUUAUUUCACCCAUUUUUUUCUUUUCCCUCCGUCCCUCCCUCCGUCCGUCCCUCCCUCCGUCCGUCCGUCCGUCCCAGCUGUCCGGGGAGGCGGCGAUCUGCGGCGGGGAGAGGCGGCGUCCCCUCCGCUGCUCGGGGAUUGUCCGGACCCGGGGGAGCGGCGGCGGCGGCGGCGGCAGCAGGAGCGGGAGCGGCUCCCCCUCGGGCUGCGUUUGCCCCUCGUCUCCCCGUUGGCCGGGAGGGAGGCCCAGGCCUCCGCCGCCGCCGCCGCCGCCGCCCGAGAAGCCCCGAGGGGCUUGUGCCGCUUCCGCGCCGGCCCCGGGAGCCAUGUUGGAGCGGGAGGGCGGCUCGGCGUGAGAGCCGCUCCCGGAGCCCCCGGAGCCCCCCGGAGCCCCCUUUCCCCCCUCCCCCGGGCCGCCUCUCGGGCUCGGAGCGCAGCGGAGGGCGAGGCCCCGCCGGAGCCGCUUGCAGCCUGCCGGACGGCCCGGCCCGACCCGGCCCGGCCCGGCCCGGUCGGGAAGGGGGUCGGGGCGGGGGUUGGGGCGGGGGGGGCGGGGCGGCGGGGCGGGGGUCGGAGCAGAGCGGGGUCCGGGGCGGCGGCGCGAGGAGCGGAUCCUUGA